rnacentral:rRNA from 1 species
ACUACGGGCGGCAGCAGUGGGGGAUAUUGCACAAUGGGGGGAACCCUGAUGCAGCGACGCCGCGUGGGUGAAGGAGCGUUUCGGCGCGUAAAGCCCUAUCGGCAGGGAAGAAGAAGGACGGUACCUGACUAAGAAGCCCCGGCUAACUACGUGCCAGCAGCCGCGGUAAUACGUAGGGGGCAAGCGUUAUCCGGAUUUACUGGGUGUAAAGGGGGCGCAGACGGCAGCGCAAGCCAGGAGUGAAAGCCCGGGGCCCACCCCCGGGACGGCUCUUGGAACUGCGCGGCGGGAGUGCAGGAGGGGCAGGCGGAAUUCGUGGUGUAGCGGUGAAAUGCGUAGAUAUCAGGAGGAACACCGGUGGCGAAGGCGGCCUGCUGGACUGCGACUGACGUUGAGGCCCGAAAGCGUGGGGAGCAAACAGGAUUAGAUACCCCGGUAGUC